rnacentral:tRNA from 1 species
AAGGGAGACCUAAUUCCGGUAGGAGACGAAAAAAAAGUAGUCCCUACCAAGAAUCAAUCCCAAAAGGUCGGAGCGAGGCAAGAUUGGCUUUCAAACUAGGUUCUGGGUUCAAACAAGACCUGAAUCAGGAACAAGGGCUAUUAGCUCAGGUGGUUAGAGCGCACCCCUGAUAAGGGUGAGGUCCCUGGUUCGAGUCCAGGAUGGCCCACCUGCACAGGUGGCAAAAACAAAGAAGCGAGGAAUCAGCACCGUAUCUUACUCAUAUAGUAAGAGAGAAUGCUGGCUCUGAGUAAAGAGUCCAGAGGAACCUUGAAAACUGCAUAGAGCUAGGUGAAAAAGCCAAAAAAGAAGACCGCAA